AAUUGGAUUUGGAUCAAGGAUGUGCAAGUCAUGUGGUCUAAGUGUGGUUGGACUAAGUGUGAGUAUAAACUCCUAUUGUUAUUUUUGGAAAAUAGAGUUAUAUCAACUCAUGGCCUAUUUAAGUUUAAAGACAUUACUUUUAGCAAUUUUAGGAAUUUACUAAAGUAUUAAAUUGUUUUAGAUAUAAUUAACUAAUUUAAGUUUAAUAAAGUGUUUAUUAAAAGAUCACAAAGUACUCUAAUAUACUUUGAAAUUAGUUCAUAUUUAUUAUAGUUUUCAUGGGAAUUGAUUUUCAUUACUCAAAAAUCACAUCUUAAGUUUUAUUUAUUAAAUCAUGUUUAAAUAAUUAUGACAAUAUAUGUAGCAUGUUUGAGGUUGAAGUAAUAUUUUGAACAUUUUAGAAAUUCAGCUUAAGCAUAAAAUGUAUUUUUAGAUUUCAAACUACAAUUUGUGUUUUUAAAAUGUUUGUCUGAUACCAUAGAGUAAUUUUAUCUAUGCAAAAUUAGAUUAGUGAAUAGUUUUAUUUAAUAUGUAAAUAUUAAAUCUACACAAGUUUGUAUAGGCUAGUUAAUUUGGAUAGAACUAUAAUGGGUUAGUUGAUCGAUGGAUUUAGUUGGGCAUUUAGCCUAACGGAUUGGGUCAAACCCAAAUACACACACACAUCGGUCGUACGCACGCUUGGCUGGACCAGCACGCACGCGCACGCCCUCUCGCGAUCCCCUUCCUGGCGACGCUUCUGUGCCGCCGUCUGCUGUCGCGCCGGCCGUUGCCGGCCGUCGCCGAAUCCGUCCUCCGCGCUGACCGUCGGCCCAGCUUCGCCAUGGUAUCUUUCCUCGACUUCCUCCUCGGAGUAGCCUCCUUACUCACUCGUGCCCGCGGCUAACCCUAGUCCGCGGGUUGGCAUGGUCGCCGUCUUGUUGCUACUCGCCCCAGCCGCCUCCGACGCCGGCGAGGUGGAUUCUCGCCCGUCAUGAUGUGAUCUACAACCUCCACCAGCUCGAUUUGAGUUUCGUGGCUCCUCUCUUUCGUCCCCAACCCGAAACCCUACUGCUAUUGGUGUUGGUUCUGGCCACCGCCGACCUCGGCGAACACCGCCGCCUGCCGUCGCGCCGCCGCCACGGAACUCUCCGUCGUCCCUCUCUGUCUCAUCUCCACCCUGCCUACCAAAGCGCGCCCCUAGCCCGCCUUGGUUCUGCUUGCUGCUGGCCGCUACCGACGCUACUGCUUGCUGGCGUGGCUCCGACGACCUUCUCCGCCUACCUCCGCCACCACAAUGCUCGCCCCCUCCUGCGUGUGCGGCCACGCGAAACCCUAGCCGGUGUGGCUUAGUACCGCCGGCAUGGCCCCAGCUGCCACGCCUCCGGCUGCUCGUCUCGUGGACUACUUAAACCUUGACGCCGGCAGGACGGCAUCCUCUGCAACCCCGGCGUCAUCGACCCGCAGCUGUUGCGUUGUUGUACUGGUUGUUGGUGAUGGUUUGUGGUGGUGGUACUGGCGUGAUAGAACUGCUGCUGCUGCGACGCCUACAUCUCCUUCGGCGUCGGCGGGACGGUGCUGCGACGCAACCCCGGCGUCAACUACUGCUCCUACUCUCGACUGAACUCACUGGAAUUACUUGAUGGCUAUUUUGUUGCUGGAUAGUUUACUUGAUGUAUGCUGGUGGCUAGUAUGCUGAUUCAGAAUGGCUUGGUUGUUGGAUCAAGAUGCUCCACUGAUCCACUGAUUAUUACCAUGUGUUAUGUAACAGAUACUUUCAUGUGCUAUGCAAAGUGGAUACUUGGUUAUUCCUGGACAUUAUUUAUUUUCUGGCUUUCUCACAGGGAUCUUGCUAUUCUCUCUGUCUGUGGUCAGGUUAUGAGCUCCUGGUUCUACCAGGGAUCACUAGCUAAGGCUAGGUGAUCUAGCUCCCCUCUCUACUGACACCUCACUUUUUCUCUCUUUCUCCACAUAGAACGGAUAAGAACAAUUAUGCUUGAUUUCUUGGCCCUGCCCAUGAUGCAUAGGCUGAGGCACAACUUGUGAUAAUAACAGAUGCUUUUAUGUGGCUUUUAAUUUCUCGGUGAUGAUGUUGGUAUAGCACUUCUAUACCAUUCUGAGAAAUAAUUCCUCCUAAUCCUCCUAGACCAGAUCUAGUUGCAGGGUAGUUGGAUCUUGUGGCUGUAAGCUUUUUUCCCCUUAUUUCACUUUAUGUGAUUAUGCAAACUAAGAACAGAUGACAUGCUUAAAUUGUUGCCUAACAACCUGUUGUUGGAGAUUUGCUUGACCUUGUGGAUUCUUGAUAAAAUCCUGCUCCUUGUGGAUAACCUGCACCUCCUAGCUGCUUGAUUUGCUUCCUGAUGGUUUUAAGCAUCCAUGGCCAUCUGUGGGUGUGCUUGUGUUCUAGCUGCUAUGCUCCUAUCUGAUCAUCUUGGCUAUGGUACUGGUCUGUGAUGUGGUUUGGGGAUGAACUUUCGGAAUGGUCGAUGGAUUGGUCUUGCACUGGCUAAACAUCUAUAUGCGGCAAGGAAUAUGCCUUUUAUAUGAUGCCUUGGAGCUGUGCUUGGCCGACAGCUAUGCUUGUGUGCUAUGAGUGUGAGACAACACGUACGUGGUGAGUGAGCUACUAGCCUGCAUGGCUGCUAGUCGUGGCUGGGUGCAUCUCCCCUUGAGGAUGAGUAUGACAAGUGAAAAUAUCUCCAACCAUCUGGUAUUAUUUUCCUGACUCGGCCAUUUGGCAUUACUUCUCUUGUGGUUUUCUUUGUUUGUUUUGUAGGUGACCAAAGAAACAAAGAAUAGAAGAUAUUUAAAUAUGUUUAGCUUAGCUUUUCUUUUCUGUUUUAGAUUCUUGUAAUAUUUGUAAUUUGUAAUAUUAUGGAUAUUGUAAUGACUUUGUAAAUGUGUAUUUAAUUAAUAAAAUGCAAUUUCCCUA